rnacentral:rRNA from 1 species
UACGUAGGUGGCGAGCGUUGUCCGGAUUUACUGGGCGUAAAGAGCGCGCAGGCGGUCAAGUAAGUCGAAUGUGAAAGCCCCCGGCUCAACUGGGGAGGGUCAUUCGAUACUGCUCGACUCGAAGGCAGGAGAGGGAAGUGGAAUUCCCGGUGUAGUGGUGAAAUGCGUAGAUAUCGGGAGGAACACCAGUGGCGAAGGCGACUUUCUGGCCUGUUCUUGACGCUGAGGCGCGAAAGCUAGGGGAGCAAACGGG